rnacentral:lncRNA from 1 species
GCGUUCGUGCGGGCAUUGAUCGUCGCAUCCCACUCGUGACCGCACCCGCCGCACUUCCACGGCACCUUCUCGCUUGAGCCCGGCGCGAAGUCCUUCAUCCGUUUCGUCGGAUGCGCCCACUCCCUUGGCAGAUGAUCCAGUCGCCCGUCGCUCUGCGCGCAGUGCACCUCGAGGUCGUGCAGGUGGCGACCCGCGCACUUCGGGCACCCGCUGGGGUGCGUGGCGUUCGUGCGGUGAGAGAUCGUCGCAUCCCACUCGUGACCGCACCCGCCGCACUUCCACGGCACCUUCUCGUUUGAGCCCGGCGCGAAGUCCUUUAUGCUCUUCGUCGGAUGCGCCCACUCCCCUGGCAGAUGAUCCAGUCGCCCGUCGCUCUGCGCGCAGUGCACCUCGAGGUCGUGCAGGUGGCGACCCGCGCACUUCGGGCACCCGCUGGGGUGCGUGGCGUUCGUGCGGGUAUGGAUCUUCGCAUCCCACUCGUGACCGCACCCGCCACACUUCCACGGAACCUUCUCGUUGGAGCGCGGCGUGAAGUCCUUCAUGCGCUUCGUCGGAUGCGCCCACUCCCCUAUCAAGUGUUCGAAUCUUCCAUCGCUCUCCUUGCAAGUCAGCUCGAGGCUGUGAAACCACGAAGGCACUUUACCGGCGCACCC